AAUUUAGAAAACGUAAGUGCCUAUAUAAUCGCCGUAAUAUGGUCGGCAAGUCUCUACCUUCAGCCGCAAACUGAAGACUAUAAGCAAAAGUGAGUGGGCU
rfam:Lactobacillus fermentum CECT 5716, complete genome.